AGUCGAGGGGCAGCACAAAGAUAGUUUACUAUUUUGGUGGCGACCGGCGCACGGGUGAGUAACGCGUAUGCAACCUACCUUAUACAGGAGUAUAGCCCGAAGAAAUUCGGAUUAAUCCUCCAUAGUAUUUUCUAAUGGCAUCAUUUGGAAAAUUAAAGCUUCGGCGGUAUAAGAUGGGCAUGCGUCCUAUUAGCUAGAUGGUAAGGUAAUGGCUUACCAUGGCAACGAUAGGUAGGGGGCCUGAGAGGGUGAUCCCCCACACUGGUACUGAGACACGGACCAGACUCCUACGGGAGGCAGCAGUGAGGAAUAUUGGGCAAUGGAGGCAACUCUGACCCAGCCAUGCCGCGUGCAGGAAGAAUGCCCUAUGGGUUGUAAACUGCUUUUAUUUAGGAAUAAACCCUUCUACGUGUAGAAGGCUGAAUGUACUAAACGAAUAAGCACCGGCUAACUCCGUGCCAGCAGCCGCGGUAAUACGGAGGGUGCAAGCGUUAUCCGGAAUCAUUGGGUUUAAAGGGUCCGCAGGCGGACGUAUAAGUCAGUGGUGAAAUCCUGCAGCUUAACUGCAGAACUGCCAUUGAUACUGUACGUCUUGAAUUCGGUCGAAGUGGGCGGAAUGUGUAGUUUAGCGGUGAAAUGCAUAGAUAUUACACAGAACACCGAUAGCGAAGGCAGCUCACUAGGCCUGGAUUGACGCUCAGGGACGAAAGCGUGGGGAUCAAACAGGAUUAGAUACCCUGGUAGUCCACGCUGUAAACGAUGAUUACUCGUUUUCGGCGAUAUACAGUCGGAGACUAAGCGAAAGUGAUAAGUAAUCCACCUGGGGAGUACGA
rnacentral:rRNA from 1 species